CGGAGGUGGCAAGCGUUGUUCGGAAUUACUGGGCGUAAAGGGCGCGUAGGCGGCUAGGCAAGUCAGGUGUGAAAGCCCCGGGCUUAACCCGGGAAUUGCAUCUGAAACUGCUGUGCUUGAGUUCUGGAGGGGGUAGUGGAAUUCCCAGUGUAGCGGUGAAAUGCGUAGAUAUUGGGAGGAACACCUGCGGCGAAGGUGGCUACCUGGACAGAAACUGACGCCGAGGCGCGAAAGCUAGGGGAGCGAACGGGAUUAGAUACCCCGGUAGUCCUAGCUGUAAACGAUGGGCACUUGGUGUUGGGGGUAUUGAGUCCCCCAGUGCCGGAGUUAACACGUUAAGUGCCCCGCCUGGGGAGUACGGUCGCAAGACUG
rnacentral:rRNA from 1 species